GAUGAACGCUGGCGGCGUGCCUAAUACAUGCAAGUCGAGCGAACAGACGAGGAGCUUGCUCCUCUGACGUUAGCGGCGGACGGGUGAGUAACACGUGGAUAACCUACCUAUAAGACUGGGAUAACUUCGGGAAACCGGAGCUAAUCCCGGAUAAUAUAUUGAACCGCAUGGUUCAAUAGUGAAAGACGGUUUUGCUGUCACUUAUAGAUGGAUCCGCGCCGCAUUAGCUAGUUGGUAAGGUAACGGCUUACCAAGGCAACGAUGCGUAGCCGACCUGAGAGGGUGAUCGGCCACACUGGAACUGAGACACGGUCCAGACUCCUACGGGAGGCAGCAGUAGGGAAUCUUCCGCAAUGGGCGAAAGCCUGACGGAGCAACGCCGCGUGAGUGAUGAAGGUCUUCGGAUCGGAAAACUCUGUUAUUAGGGAAGAACAAAUGUGUAAGUAACUAUGCACGUCUUGACGGUACCUAAUCAGAAAGCCACGGCUAACUACGUG
rnacentral:rRNA from 1 species